rnacentral:rRNA from 1 species
GGGCCCGCACAAGCGGUGGAGCAUGUGGUUUAAUUCGAUGAUACGCGAGGAACCUUACCAGGGCUUAAAUGUAGUAUGACCGGCUUGGAAACAGGCCUUCUCUUCGGAGCAGAUUACAAGGUGCUGCAUGGUUGUCGUCAGCUCGUGCCGUGAGGUGUUAGGUUAAGUCCUGCAACGAGCGCAACCCCUAUUCUUAGUUGCCAGCGGUUCGGCCGGGGACUCUAAGAAGACUGCCAGCGCAAGCUGAGAGGAAGGUGGGGAUGACGUCAAAUCAUCACGGCCCUUACGUCCUGGGCUACACACGUGCUACAAUGGUAGAGACAGAGGGCUGCAAUACCGCAAGGUGGAGCGAAUCCCAAAAAGCCGGUCUCAGUUCGGAUUGAGGUCUGCAACUCGACCUCAUG